rnacentral:sRNA from 1 species
GUCGUGAGAUGUUGGGUUAAGUCCCGCAACGAGCGCAACCCCUGUCCUAUGUUGCCAGCAUUUAGUUGGGGACUCAUAGGAGACUGCCGGUGACAAACCGGAGGAAGGUGGGGAUGACGUCAAGUCAUCAUGCCCCUUAUGUCCAGGGCUACACACGUGCUACAUUGGCGCAUACAGAGGGUUGCAAUACCGUGAGGUGGAGCGAAUCCCACAAAGUGCGUCUCGGUUCGGAUUGAAGGCUGAAACUUGCCUUCAUGAAGCUGGAGUUGCUAGUAAUCGCGGAUCAGCAACGCCGCGGUGAAUACGUUCCCGGGCCUUGUACACACCGCCCGUCACACCACGAAAGCGAGCAACACCCGAAGCCGGUGACCUAACCCUUUUGGGAAGGAGCCGUCGAAGGUGGGGCCCGUGAUUGGGGUGAAGUCGUAACAAGGUAGCCGUAGCGGAAGCUGCGGCUGGAUCACCUCCUUUCUAGGGAGACCUAGAAUGUCGACCGGACUCGAUCGCCGGCUCUGCCGGCAAUUGGCUGCUCAGUUUUGAGGGACCGCGGGCGGAAAUCCUCCGCCGGGCGCCUCGGCGGACCUUGAAAACUGCACAAGGCCAAAAGGGUAAGCGACCCAUAGUCAGCUUCGGUUGAGUAUGGGUCACGAUCCAUGUCCGGCUUCGGCCGGAGGUGGAUCAACCCACCGUCAAGAUAUUAAGGGCACAUGGCGGAUGCCUUGGCACCAGGAGUCGAUGAAGGACGUGGACGGCUGCGAUAAGCCGCGGUGAGACGCUGAACAGUCUUUGACCCGCGGAUUU